GACGAACGCUGGCGGCGUGCUUAACACAUGCAAGUCGAACGGAAAGGCCCUGCUUUUGUGGGGUGCUCGAGUGGCGAACGGGUGAGUAACACGUGAGUAACCUGCCCUUGACUUUGGGAUAACUUCAGGAAACUGGGGCUAAUACCGGAUAGGAGCCCCUGCUGCAUGGUGGGGGUUGGAAAGUUUCGGCGGUUGGGGAUGGACUGGCGGCUUAUCAGCUUGUUGGUGGGGUAGUGGCUUACCAAGGCUUUGACGGGUAGCCGGCCUGAGAGGGUGACCGGCCACAUUGGGACUGAGAUACGGCCCAGACUCCUACGGGAGGCAGCAGUGGGGAAUAUUGCACAAUGGGCGGAAGCCUGAUGCAGCAACGCCGCGUGCGGGAUGACGGCCUUCGGGUUGUAAACCGCUUUCGCCUGUGACGAAGCGUGAGUGACGGUAAUGGGUAAAGAAGCACCGGCUAACUACGUG
rnacentral:rRNA from 1 species